CUAACACUGAAGAUAGAAUCCAAAUGCGGACUCCUCUUCAUGACUCUAGAGCAAUUCACCAAAACCCAAGCUUUCCUAAUCUUCCACAUACUAAUUGCGGCAAACCUACACAUAGCAAAGAUGUGGAAACAGACCGACACCCCAGGUAUAGGGACAGUGAUCAAACAAGCCACCACAAAUAUAGAUUAUGAAACAAACACACACACAGGACAUAAACUUCAGGACUAUAAAACACUAGCCAAACGAGCAUGGGAUGGGUUCUUGGAGGGGCGAGGGGAGGAACAGAGCGACAUCACGCUAUAAUAUAUAGCAAGAGUAGGCUACCAAACUAAACAAUGAGAGAGAGACGUAAGUGGACCAAACUCCAAGCACUACAACACACUCACACUUAGGGGAGAGAGACAGAAGAGUGGAUACCCACACUGUACAUAGUUAUAUACAUUUGUACAUAGUUUUCGACUGACGCCAACACGUAUACAAAGAGACACCUAGACCAACCACAACCCC